UGAGGAAUAUUGGACAAUGGAGGUAACUCUGAUCCAGCCAUGCCGCGUGCAGGAAGACGGCCCUAUGGGUUGUAAACUGCUUUUAUAUAGGAAGAAACCGUUCCACGUGUGGAACUCUGACGGUACUAUAUGAAUAAGCACCGGCUAACUCCGUGCCAGCAGCCGCGGUAAUACGGAGGGUGCAAGCGUUAUCCGGAAUCAUUGGGUUUAAAGGGUCCGUAGGCGGGCUAAUAAGUCAGGGGUGAAAUACCACAGCUCAACUGUGGAACUGCCUUUGAUACUGUUAGUCUUGAAUUAUAUGGAAGUAGAUAGAAUGUGUAGUGUAGCGGUGAAAUGCUUAGAGAUUACACAGAAUACCGAUUGCGAAGGCAGUCUACUACGUAUAUAUUGACGCUAAUGGACGAAAGCGUGGGGAGCGAACA
rnacentral:rRNA from 1 species